GACGAACCGUGCAAACGUUGUUCGGAAUCACUGGGCUUAAAGGGCGCGUAGGCGGGCUCCCAAGUCGGUGGUGAAAUCUUUCGGCCCAACCGGAAAAGUGCCGCCGAUACUGGGAGUCUCGAGGGAGGUAGGGGUCGAGGGAACUUCCGGUGGAGCGGUGAAAUGCGUAGAUAUCGGAAGGAACGCCGGUGGCGAAAGCGCUCGACUGGACCUCUUCUGACGCUGAGGCGCGAAAGCCAGGGGAGCAAACGGG
rnacentral:rRNA from 1 species